GACGAACGCUGGCGGCGUGCCUAAUACAUGCAAGUAGAACGCUGAAGGAGGAGCUUGCUUCUCUGGAUGAGUUGCGAACGGGUGAGUAACGCGUAGGUAACCUGCCUGGUAGCGGGGGAUAACUAUUGGAAACGAUAGCUAAUACCGCAUAAUAGUAGAUGUUGCAUGACAUUUGCUUAAAAGGUGCAAUUGCAUCACUACCAGAUGGACCUGCGUUGUAUUAGCUAGUUGGUGGGGUAACGGCUCACCAAGGCGACGAUACAUAGCCGACCUGAGAGGGUGAGCGGCCACACUGGGACUGAGACACGGCCCAGACUCCUACGGGAGGCAGCAGUAGGGAAUCUUCGGCAAUGGACGGAAGUCUGACCGAGCAACGCCGCGUGAGUGAAGAAGGUUGUCGGAUCGUAAAGCUCUGUUGUAAGAGAAGAACGAGUGUGAGAGUGGAAAGUUCACACUGUGACGGUAUCUUACCAGAAAGGGACGGCUAACUACGUG
rnacentral:rRNA from 1 species